rnacentral:rRNA from 1 species
AUAGCCCUUGGGCAGCCAAGUAGCGUGAAGGAUGAAGGCUCUAUGGGUCGUAAACUUCUUUUAUAUAAGAAUAAAGUGCAGUAUGUAUACUGUUUUGUAUGUAUUAUAUGAAUAAGGAUCGGCUAACUCCGUGCCAGCAGCCGCGGUAAUACGGAGGAUCCGAGCGUUAUCCGGAUUUAUUGGGUUUAAAGGGAGCGUAGGUGGACUGGUAAGUCAGUUGUGAAAGUUUGCGGCUCAACCGUAAAAUUGCAGUUGAUACUGUCAGUCUUGAGUACAGUAGAGGUGGGCGGAAUUCGUGGUGUAGCGGUGAAAUGCUUAGAUAUCACGAAGAACUCCGAUUGCGAAGGCAGCUCACUGGACUGCAACUGACACUGAUGCUCGAAAGUGUGGGUAUCAAACAGGAUUAGAUACC